UUUUUUUUUUUUUUUUUUUUUUUUUUUUUUUUUUUUUUUUUUUUUUAAGAUUUAUUUAUUCAUUUGAGAGAGCGAGAAUGAGAGAGAGUACAUGAGAGGGGGGAGGGUCAGAGGGAGAAGCAGGCUCCCCGCAGAGCAAGGAGCCCGAUGCGGGACUCGAUCCCGGGACUCCAGGACCAUGACCUGAGCCAAAGGCAGUCGCUCAACCAACUGAGCCACCCAGGCGCCCCUAGGCGUACCUUGUUUUGUUGCACUUGCUUUAUUGUGCUUCACAGAUACUGCAUUUUUUUUUUUUUUUUUUUUUUUUUUUACAAAUUGAAGGUUUUGGCAAUCCUGUGUCAAGCAAGUCUUGGCACCAUUUUUCCAACAGCAUUUGCUCGCUUCAUGUCUCUGUGUCACAUUAUGGUAAUUAUUGCAAUAUUUUAAGUUUUUUUAUUAUCACUAUAUUUCUUUGUAUCUAUGAUCACUCAUCUUUGAUGUUGCUAUUGGAAUUAUUUGGGGGAAUCACAAACCAUGUCUGUGUAAGACCGUGAACUUAAUAAAUGUAUGUGUUCUGGCUGUUCCACUCACUGGCUGUUCCCCAGUCUCUCCUUGGGCUUCCCUGUUCCCUGAGACACAACAAUAUUGAGAUUAGGCCAAUUAAUAACCCACAAUGACCACAAAGUGUUCAAGUGAAAGAAGAGUUGCACAUCUCUGACUUUCGAUUAAAAGCUAGAACUGAUUAAGCUGACUGAGGAAGGCAUGACAAAAUCUGAGGUAGGUGGAAAGUUAGGCCUCUUGUACCACAGCCAAAUUGUGAAUGCAAAGGAGAAUUCUUGAGGGAAAUUAGUGAACACAUGAAUGCUAAGAGUGAAACAGCCUUAUUGCUGAUAUGGAGAAAGUGUUAGUGGUCUCAACAGAAGAUCAAACCAGCCACAAUAUUCCCUUAAGCCAAAGCCUAAUCCAGAACAAGACCCUAACUCUUCAAUUCUAUGAGGACUGAGAGAUGAGGAAGGUGCAGAAGAAAAGUUUGAAGUUAGCAGAGGUGGGUUCGUGAGGUUUAAGGGAAGAAGCCGUCUCCAUAACAUCAAAGUGCAAGGGGAAGCAGCAGGUGCUGAUGGAGAAGCUGCAGCAAGUGAUGCAGAAGAUCGAGCUAAGAUAACUAAUGAAGGUGUCUACACUAAACAGAUACUCAGUGUAGACGAGAAACAACCUUCUAUUGGAAGAAGAUGCCAACUAGGACUUCCACAGCUAGAGAGAAGUCAAUGCCUGACUUCCAAGCUUCAAAAGACAGGGUAUUAGGGGUUAAGGCAGCUGGUGGCUUUAAGUUGAAGCUAAUGCUCAUUUACCAUUUGAAAAAUCCUUAAGAAUUAUGUUAAAUCUACUGCGUUUGUGCUCCAUAAAUGGAAUAAGAAAGCCUGGAUGACAGCACAUCUGUCUGUAACCUGGUUUACUAAAUAUUUCAAGCCCACUGUUGAGACCUCCUGCUCAGAAAGAAAGAUUUCUUUCAAAAUAUUACUGCUCAUUGACAAUGCACCUGGUCAUCCAAGAGCUCUGAUAGAGCUAGACGACAAGAUUAACGUUUUCAUGCCUGCUAACACAACAUCCAUUUUGCAGCCAUGGGUCGUGAAGUAAUUUUGACUUUCAAGCCUUAUUUAGGAAAUAGGUUUUGUAAGGCUUUAGCUGCCAUAGCUAGUGAUUUCUCUGAUGGAUCUGGGCAAAGUAAACUGAAAACCUUCAGAAAAGGAUUGACGAUUCUAGAUGCCAUUAAGAACAUUUGGGAUUCAUGGGAAGAAAACAAAAUAUCACCAUUAACAGGAGUUUGAAAGAGGUUGAUUCCAGCACUCAUGGAUGACUUGAAGGGGUUCAAGACUUCAGUGGGGCGGGGCGCAUGGGUGGCUCAGUCGGUUAAGCGUCUGCCUUCGGCUCAGGUCAUGAUCCCAGGGUCCUGGGAUCGAGCCCCGCAUUGGGCUCUCUGCUCGGCAGGAGGCCUGCUUCUCCCUCUCCCACUCCCCCUGCUUGUGUUCCCUCUCUCGCUGUCUCUGUCUCUGUCAACUAAAUAAAUAAAACACUUAAAAAAAAAAGUUGCUGCUUCUGGAUGAGCAAAGAAAGUGGUCUCUUGAGAUGGGAACUACUCCUGGUGAAGAUGCCGUGAAGAUUGUUCAAAUGACAACAAAGGACUGAUUAAUAUCACAUAAACUUAGUUGAUAAAGCAGUGGUAGGAUUUGGGAGGACUCACUCCAAUUUUGAAAGAAGUUCUACUAUAGGUAAAAUGCUAUCAAACAGCAUCACAUGCUACAGAGAAAUCAUUUGUGGAAGUAAGAGUCAACCCGUGUGGCAAAGUUCAUUGUCUUAUUUUAAGAGCUACCACAGUCACCCUAGACUUCAGUGACACCACCCUGAUCAAGUCAGCGGCCAUCAACAUUGAAGCAGGGACCCCCCCCCACCACCAAAAAAAUUACAACUUGCUGAAAGCUCAAGUGAUGGUUAGCACUUCUCAGCAAUAAGGUGUUUUUUGUUUGUUUUUUAGAGAGAGCAGGAGCAGUGUGGGGGGGGAGGGACAGAGGAAGAGGAAGAGAGAGAAUCUUAAGCAGAUGCCAUGCCCAGCCUGGAGCCGGACGUGGGGCUCGAUCUCACAACCCUGAGAUCAUGACCUGAGCCGAAAUCAAGAGUUGGACUUGAUAAACUCAAGUUAAUUAUGAGCCACCCAGACACCCUGCAAUAAGGUUAUUUCUUAAUUAAGCGCUCUGGGACUCAACUCCACAAUAUCUCCAAGAUCUUUUUCAGAAGGAAGUGAUUCAUAUGUAGCUGUAGAUUUGGUGUGUCCAUGUGAGGAGGCUGGGGGUGGAAGUGUAACCUGAGUUUGUCCAACCAAAUGCUCCUCGGAGCCCAAGCACGUACGGCAAGGACAGAGAAACGCAUCUUCCCCAGGAGUUGAUUCUACCUCAAGAAACGACUUUCUGUGCUCAUCCAUAAGAUGUGACUCCUCAUCCGUUCAAGUUUUAUCAUGAGAUUGCAGCAAUUCAAAAUAAUAAUAAUGAACAAGUUUGAAA